rnacentral:rRNA from 1 species
AACGAACGCUGGCGGCAGGCUUAACACAUGCAAGUCGAACGGUUGUAGCAAUACAGCAGUGGCGCACGGGUGAGUAACGCGUGGAUAUCUGCCUUUUGGUUCGGAAUAACUCCGGGAAACUGGAGCUAAUACCGGAUGGUUCCUACGGGAUAAAGAUUUAUCGCCAAAAGAUGAGUCCGCGUACGAUUAGCUAGUUGGCGGGGUAAUGGCCCACCAAGGCGACGAUCGUUAGCUGGUCUGAGAGGACGAUCAGCCACACUGGGACUGAGACACGGCCCAGACUCCUACGGGAGGCAGCAGUGGGGAAUAUUGGACAAUGGGGGCAACCCUGAUCCAGCCAUGCCGCGUGAGUGAUGAAGGCCUUCGGGUUGUAAAGCUCUUUUGGCGGGGACGAUGAUGACGGUACCAGAUGAAUAAGCACCGGCUAACUCCGUGCCAGCCGCCGCCGUAACAC